AGAGAUGUGGAGCGAAACUCAAAAAGUAAGUCUCAGUUCGGAUUGAAGGCUGAAAUUCGCCUUCAUGAAGCCGGAAUUGCUAGUAAUGGCAGGUCAGCAUACUGCCGUGAAUACGUUCCCGGGCCUUGUACACACCGCCCGUCACACCAUGAGAGUUGGGAAUACCCGAAGCCUGUGAGCUAACGUUAAGAGGCAGCAGUCGAAGGUAGAAUCAAUGAUUGGGGUGAAGUCGUAACAAGGUAUC
rnacentral:rRNA from 1 species